GUUUGGUCUAGUGGCAAACGGGUGCGUAACACGUGAGUAAUCUGCCGAGAAGUGGGGGAUACUCGCCGAAAGGCGAAUUAAUACCGCAUAUGGCUAAGGAGGGACAUCCCUCCCACGCCAAAGCCGCAAGGCGCUUCUUGAUGAGCUCGCGGCCUAUCAGCUUGUUGGUGAGGUAACGGCUCACCAAGGCUAUGACGGGUAGCUGGUCUGAGAGGACGACCAGCCACACUGGAACUGAGACACGGUCCAGACACCUACGGGUGGCAGCAGUCGAGAAUUUUUCACAAUGGGGGGAACCCUGAUGGAGCGACGCCGCGUGGAGGACGAAGGCCCUCGGGUCGUAAACUCCUGUCAUGCGGGAACAAGACAAGUGAUAGUACCGCAAGAGGAAGAGACGGCUAACUCUGUGCCAGCAGCCGCGGUAAUACAGAGGUCUCAAGCGUUGAUCGGAUUCAUUGGGCGUAAAGGGUGCGC
rnacentral:rRNA from 1 species